UUUCAGGGUACCAUCCACUGUUGUAAGGACUGUACAAACUGUGACAAGUUCAAUUCACAAUGGACACGUUGUUAUUACCAGGUGAUAAAUCUGCCUUGGCAUUCUUUAACAGAGUUCUAAACGGUUCAUUAACAUCUCACCAGAGAAGACACAGAAGCAACAAGAACCACAAUUACUGAGCCAUAAAUCAAGCAUGGACUUUUCAGAAAAUGAGUUCAGGAUCAUAUUUCUAUUAAUGAUUACACUCUGACGUGAGUUUAAACGAGGUCUGGCACAAUUUUCCAUGAAUAACCUUCUUUAUCUAUAUAUAGAUGACAAGGUAAAGACAUGUAUCAGCACACUAAGCUGAUUAAAAGAGGCAUGACAAUUGUGGCAAACAGCUCCACGACAGUGUAGUUAAAGCCAUAUUGUCAUGAACGACAACCUUGGUAAACUCUACAUAUAACAAACUCUCCAAACCAACACUAAAAAUUGUCAAAAUGAAAUUAUGACGAAGCUUUAGAACAGAAACUAUACGAAGUAUCCGUUUCCUCACGACAUAUCCACCCAAAUAUGAGACAAUCCUCUGUUUGUUCGCUUGUGUCUACGGACUACAUUUUGUCCACUUACGUCCAGGGACAUACAGACAAUCCCCUGUAUGUUCGUGUGUGUCCAGAUGAACGGGUCAGUCAAACUUCAUCUGCAGCAACUCAAGACAUGAUCCAAGUGACUGGAGACCGUGAUAAACAAACCUCGUUUCGGACACUGUCCACUACAGUAAGUUGACGAACAACUCACUUAUAUCAUCGCUAUUUACUUUCCUCAGUGUCAAUUGUAAGACAAAGUCAGCACCUCUUGACACUUGCUUGAACAAACAAUGUUAGUGUAGCGUGAGCAAAGAAACGGUUUUCAUCCAACUGAAGUCCCUGUCUAAGCAGGUUGUGAUAACGUGAUGAUAUACUUCCAGUUUCCUGGGUCAGACAACUGGGUUAAGCUGUGCACACAACACAAUCUGAUAAUCCCCUCCAAACACAACCAACUGAUUCACACAUAUGCAAUGGCAGUUCUAACUGCCAUAUUUGUUUGUGGGCAAUUUUAAUUGAAAAGAAUCUUUGGUAUUUCUUCCAGUGCAGAGCAGUGCAUAAGAUUUGGGAAUAAGAUCCAGCCUGAAGUUAAACCUCUGGAAUGUGUAGCAUGCCAAGCAAUGUGAACGCUACCUGAACGCAUCCGACCCGUCUCAGAAUAUGCAAGGUUUUGUCUGCGUCUGAGUGUGGUGUCCAAGUUGCAGAGCAUUAAGGGCCGGUGAUUGGUUCCGUGUGAGAAUCCUGCAUAUGCAGCCAAUGACCCAAAGGCAACCAGACCUGCCCAAUGGUGCCCUCAUUGCAUGACCUAAUUGCACGGAUAUGUUCCAGUCGUGUUGACUGACCACAAACGCAGCAUCAUUCCACUGGAUUAACGGGCAGAAGUGAUUCCUUGUGAAUAAUUAUUCAAGUUUCAUGGACCCCGCUUUAAAACUGAAGCCAAGAUGUGAACAGGCAUAUUUACAGCUGGUGUACAUUAAUUCAGCAGGAAGUGAGAAUACAAUCUCGGCUAUCACUGACAGUUGAGACCCUGUCAGAACACCAAGCAAUCUAUGGCCAGCAAAUAUAAAGAGUCUAUAGAACCAGAGCAGCAGCAAUGACAGUGACCUGCUCCCUCCAGCCCCCCUCAGGCUCUGACCCUACCUGGGAAGAUAACAAUGCACUGGUUACAUGCCGAGGAUCACUCCAACCAGGGGAAUACCACAUGGUAAAAUCAGACGGGCUCUGUCCAUGUUUGUAAACAUUCCCUCAUAAUGUUUCCUGGACCCAUUAUUGGCCAGUUUUGAGGGAAAAUGGCUAAAAAGUGAGUAGGAAUGUAUCUGACUUACCUAAAGUGUGAAAUAACACCUCAAUCCUGAGUUAAAACAAUUACAAACACUUCUAACUUCUUUAUCACAGCUCUCUGUUAGCAAGGUCAAGGGCAUUAACUAGGGGAGGUAACUCUUUGUACCCUACUCCCCCACAUGUCAAUAAUGCUCCCCAGUCUCUAUGGUGAAGAUGAUGUAAAAGCUCAAAAGGGGGGUAGCAAUAAAACUGUCACCUGGGCAAGGGAGCUCAUUAAACUGAAUUUCAGUCUUAUUUACAGAGUAAUUAAAAAGAAAUUAAUCUUCUCUUCAAUGAAAGUUAUGGAGCCUGUUGGACUAGGUGAUGUAGAUUUAAAUUACCAAUUCAGUAUCAGAAAUAAAUAUUAUGGGAAAACUAUAUUUCCAGCUUAAUAUUCUAAUUAUAUUUAUUUUUUCUUAGGUACAAAUUUUCAAAUCAACCAAACCCUUAUUAUAUCCUUGAUAAUGUAAAUACUUUCAAAGAAAAAGAAAAUUUAUUUUUAGAGUGACUUUUGACUUUUGACCCCAAACAACAUUCAAAAGCUACAUAGAUAAUGCAACUUGAUCACAGUAACUUUUGUCUGAGGGCAUGUCUACAUAAUCUCAAAUCAUCAGUGACACUUAAAUUACAAUGGAUUUGUACACUUUGUCAUUUCAGUGGCCCUUUGUGAUUGGUAUUGAUCUCUCUGUGUUAAUUACACAAUAUUACUUAGUUACAAUGAUGGUCAAACUGAAAAGGUCAACAAAAUAAACAUUCAAAUGUCUCCAAGCUAUCAUAGUUACUGCACUUUGAUUACAGUAACUUUUGUCUGUAAUAUUCUCAAAUCAUCAGUGUCCGACAAAUAUUUAAAUUACAAUAGUCCAUUGAUUGAAAUUGAUCUUUAUGUCUGUAACAUUCUCAAAUCAGCAGUGUCUGACACAUAUUUAAAUUGCAAUAGUCCAUUGAGAUCAAAAUUGAUCUUUAUGUGUUA